GUGGGGGCACGUGACAAGCCCAAAAAUUAUUUUAAAAAUAUGUCGACGUCCGUGACGUCGAGUAGGUUACUGUGGUAUAUUUAUUUACCCAAAUUGAGCACCGUAUUAGAAGAUAUUACGAAUUGUUGGUGAUGUGCUUUAAAUAACGUUUUUAUAGUUGUUUCGCAUAUAGGUGACACCUAUCCCAAGGACGAGCGCAUCCAGGGACGUCACGGGGGUUACGACCCUUCGACUUAUCAGUGAGUGGGCAAUAUUUUUUCUGUAUUUACCUAUAUGCUAUCGAUUUUCCCAGAAAUUUGAUUUAAAUGAAAAUAGGUUUUUAAAAUGCCAUGCAUGCAUAUUAUGAAUUAUAUGAAUGGAUAAUUGAUGCAUAUAUAUGUGAAAUGGUGUUGUGGACGCACAGGUGAGUAUCAGGUGAGUUCUACGUUAUUUAUGUGAAUCAUUGAUGAUGUGAUUGUGUUGAGAGCUCAUAACCUGCACCCCUAGUAUUAGUGCUUAUAGUAUUCACCGCACCGUACGCUCACCUUGGAUUCAAGUAGGUACAUGUCGUACAGACCAUGAGAGAGUUCCGACAUGCUAGUCGUAUAGAUCACUGAGGUGAUUCCGACUGGUAGGUGACUUUAGAUUAUGUGCACAGAUGAUUGAUGAGAGAAGCACUAGAGCAUAUUCUUACACCAUUCUUGUCGUACAGACUACUUCAGGUAGUUCCGACUUAUGUGCAGUGUAGUGCCGUACAGGUCACCAUGGUGGCUCCGGCAGUGCCGUACAGGUCACAGUUUGUGACUCCGGCUGGUUUGGAUGUUGAGCUUUAUAAUUAACCGUACAGGACCAACUUCAGAGUCUCCGGUUGAUUUAUUAUAUCACCUAUUAUAUUGAUGCAUCCAUAUUCUGUUUUGACAUUAUGGCAUGGCAUGAUUUCUGAAUUUUGAUAAAGAAUGAUGAUUUGAGAUAUAUUGAGGAUUUUUAUACUAUUAUGUUAUUUUCUAGGAAAAGUAUACAGGUUUUACAGUGAGGGGUUAGAAUUGUUUUUGGUGAAAUGCUUUUGAAAAGCUUUGGUUUUACUGACCCACUCAAUCUUGUUUUUCGCCCCUCCAGGUUCUAGUUAGCAGCGUUGGUAGCCCACGAGGAUUUCCACGGAGUUCUGACAGACUUCUUGAAUGUAGGACUCACCUGCGGGUGUUGUAUUUUAGUUAUGGUCCUACUUGACUGCAACUAGUGUUUAUGCUCUGUUUAUGUGUGUGUUCACACCUUAAUUCACUUUAGCCUGCUAGUUGGGUAAUAUUUGCUAGUAAUUGGUUAUUUCCUUCGUAAUUCUCUUAUCUUCUGCUUCCGUACCGCACUUAUGGUUACGUCACGCUCACGUGAUGGCCAGCACGCCUUGAUUCUAGGAUCGGGGUGUGUCAAUUUCUUUUUGUGCCCAUAUUUUUUGACACACCCCGACCUGGAAAGGUCGAAGCAUGCUGGCCGUCACCGUGAGGUGACGUAACCAUAAGGGUAAGUGAUGCAAAAAGUGAAUAAAAUUAAAACUAAUUAGAACUAAACAGUGAAAGAGUGCGCAGUUCGUGGGUUGAACCCACUACAAUUAUUCAGAGUGUGAUAGACAGUGAGAUUACGAAAUAGUAGUCAAAGCAACCAAAGUAUACUUAUUACAUAAUAGUGAUAAGUUCGUACAUCUAAACAGAAGGAUAUAUCAGAACUGCCGUGAUUCCUCGAGUGCCACAGAGAGUACAGCUAUCUAGGUCCUGGAAGGGCGAAAAACAAAGUUGAGUGGGUCAAAACAAUGCUUAUAAGAAAACCUUUAUCUUUGAAUAUACUAACCCCUCGCCGUAAAACAAGUAUAGUUUCCUCAAAACAUACUACGUAAGUAUGAAAUCUAGUAUAUCAGCCAUAUAACCAGAAAUAUGCCAAGUAAAUGAUGUAUCAUAUGCCACAAUAAUAAUCAUGUGAUAAUCAAUAUAACUAAGUGCUCAUCCAUCUAAGCUGACACACAAGUUCGAACAGAUGGUUUCUGACACGAACAUGACUGGGUGUAAUCAAUAUGCUCUAGUACUACGAUCACGUGAAAACUGGUGCAAAAGCACAUCACAUACAAGUCGGAUUGCCUAAUGCAAUCUACCCGACAAGACUGGCACCUAAACUUGGAUCCAAGGUGAGCGAACGGUGCGGAUGUGAACAUACACGUGAAGGACUGGCCCUGGCCCUGAGGCGAGUACUAACACCGAGUGCAGCAAGAUGAGCAUGUACACAAGUACGUAUGAAUGCCAUGACAGUAAUAUCACAAUCAUAUAGCAGCAUUUAUCACAAUUUAUAUCACAAUAAUGAUACUAGGUAAAAUAGGCGUAAAAGUGAAGUAAAUACGCAUUUAUGGAAACUAUAAAUAUAUAUAUAGGUAUAAAACAACUACCCACUCACAAGUACGUCGCUGGGUCGUAGCCCCCGAGCCUAGCUUGGCCUCGAAAAUCCUCGGAAUAAGUUUCCCCUAUAUGUGAAAUAACUAAAUAACAUUAAUUAAAGCACAUAACGGAAACCUAAAUAAAAUCCCCAUAGUUUGCUCAAAUUUAAGGUAUAAAUAUAUGAAAUCGAUCUACUCGAUGACACGAACGCACAUGUGUCAACCACACG
rnacentral:lncRNA from 1 species